rnacentral:tRNA from 1 species
GCCCGGAUGGCGGAAUAGGUAGACGCAAGGGACUUAAAAUCCCUCGGAAGUAAUUCUGUGCCGGUUCAAGUCCGGCUCCGGGUA